CCCGCCAUGUGUUUCUGUUUUCCUACUAAUGACAUAUUUUGGUGAUUUGUGUGUGUGUGUGUGUGUGCGUGUGUCUGUGUGUGUGUGUGUGUGUGUGUGUGUGUGUGUGUGUGUGUGUGUGUGUGUGAAGUGUGUGUGUGUGUGUGUGUGUGUGUGUGUGUGUGUGUGUGUGUGUGUGUGUGUGUGUGUGUGUGUGUGUGUAUGUGUGUGUGUGUGUUUGUGUGUGCGUGUAUGAGAGGUGUGUGUGUGUAUGUGUGUGUGUGUCUAUGUGUGUGUGUGUGUGUGUGUGUGUAUGAGAGGUGUGUGUGUGUAUGUGUGUGUGUGUGUGUGUGUGUGUAUGUGCGUGUGUGUAUGUGUGUUUGUGUUUGAGAGGUGUGUGUCUGUGUGUUUGAGAGAGGUGUGUCUGUGUGUGUGUGUGUGUGUUUGAGAGAGGUGUGUGUGUGUGUGUGUGUGUGUGUGUGUGUGAUUGAGAGGUGUGUGUGUGUG
ensembl:lncRNA